GCAUUCUGACUGCAGCCUGAGUUCCCCGGAGCAAGGCUGCUUCUCUCCACCCACUCCUCACCAAGAACUCCUGAACUUGAGAGUGGACGACUUCAAAGCUAGCUCUCACAGACUCACCUGGAAAAGAGUUCAGCUGCGCGUUCAUUGAACCGAGAGGCCAGAUCACCUAUGUGAGGCGGUGGGAACCAUAUGGAGAUUUAUAUUAGAACUUCAGCAAAGUGCACAGCUGCAGCCGGCAGAAGCCAGCUCUCGGGCUGACAGGCAAAUGAACCAGAUCGUGGACGGGGCCUCUGGGUGGCAGCUCCGGCCUUUUGGUUGUUGGACAACUAUAGUCAGAACUGAAAUGGAACAGGGGCAGGAGAAAUAACACACUUUUACUCCACGCAACUGUUGCUUUCACAUGAUCUUCAGGAAUGUAACUGGGAUAAUUGUCCAAAUUGAAUCCCAUACCCUGUCAUGGUACUGAUUAUUAAGGUGACUAUAUGAAAGGAUCACUCCAAAAUAACAGGAAUCUUGAGGAACCCAUUAAUGUAAAGCUGCGGCCAGAGUUCCAUGAGGAGGCAGAAUGUUCUAGAUGAUCCCUGUCUCUUCUCCAUUGAGGAAGUCGUUUCUUGCCUCUCUGUAAGCUCAGUUAAUGUAAAACAAAGAACAUUGAUACAUCGAUGAUGUGCAAUUUCAAAUCUCAAAGUUCACCCUUUUAUGUGCCAGAAGUGUUGGCUCUGUGACUUAUGGGCUGUCCAAUUUAGAGCUAGACUGAUGCUUUGUACAGAGUGGUAGCUGUGGAAGUGGUCCCAGUGGUAUCUAGAUGAAAAAGCCAAUCAAGCAGCUGGGCCCUAAUAGCCUUCUAAGAGAAAACUCAAAGAGCCUCAUCAACCAGGCAUUCUACAUUAUCCUUGGGAUGAACGUUACCCUGGGGCCUAACUGGCAGCAGCAUCUUUACCUUCCUCCACUCCAAGGCUUUCUAUGAUACAAUUCCCCAACCCCCUGAAUGUAUUCUGCAUGUGCAGGGAGGGGAGGUACAAGUCUUUUCAUGGUUCAUAUAGUAAAACACAAGAGCAGUCCCAUUAACUGGUUAUAACAAAAGCUCUGGUAAGUUGGUGAAGUUCAAACAUUGAUCUUAAUAGCCAAAAGGGGGGGGGGAACCCUUACAGAAUCUUUAUUUUUAAUUUCAAGCAUAUCAAUUUAAACCGUCCAAGCAGAAAAUUCCAUCAAGUGAGAUCCAUCAGCAGUUAAAGUUCAAAGUCAGAGAGCAAAUGGAAAUCACUAUAGCUUUUCUCAUUCCCCGUGGACAUGACCACUGUGAAGGUGGCACAUGAUUUACACUCCCCUGAUAGUAACUGAUGACACUCAGUGUGAACAAAUGGGGAGAACACUUAGAGAUGUACCGGAGAGCCUGCUUACAUUAUUUUUGGCUCCACUCUGGUGCUUGGCUUUCAAUUUUCAUUCUCUCUUUCUUUGAGAUUAACUUUGAAUUGCUUGUUCUCUUCCAUCUAGAGCCAAGCUUUUUGUAAAGAUCUAAUAGGGACAUCAAAGAAAUAUUAGGAUGUAUUGUCAGAAAUAUCCAAGUAUUGUAAGACAGGGAACAGCCAGAUGUGUAAUUUAAAAUAAGUUUAAACGGCAAAAAUACAGAAUCAACUACACAUAAGAGAAAUGACAUUUGAGCUAUUUUCCAAAUGUAAAUUGGACUUUCCUGAGAUUUGAUGUCUUAGUAUUUAAUACUUUCCUUAGAAAUUAUGAAAAAUGAAUUUAUUCUGUAGGUAAAAUUUUAAAAUAUUAAAAUUUUCUGUUUCAAAUAUU
rnacentral:lncRNA from 1 species